AAUGCCCCUUGAGGCGUUGCAGCCCAACUGCUGUGUUGCAGCUGUGUCACAAGGCGGCAGAGAGAGACCGGUGGUGGUCUGCACUGAGACCCGGCAACACACCGAGGACUUGGAGUGACACUUACCACCAACAGU